GUCUUAACCGGGCGUUAAGUUGCAGGGUAUAGACCCGAAACCCGGUGAUCUAGCCAUGGGCAGGUUGAAGGUUGGGUAACACUAACUGGAGGACCGAACCGACUAAUGUUGAAAAAUUAGCGGAUGACCUGUGGCUGGGGGUGAAAGGCCAAUCAAACCGGGAGAUAGCUGGUUCUCCCCGAAAGCUAUUUAGGUAGCGCCUCGUGAACUCAUCUCCGGGGGUAGAGCACUGUUUCGGCUAGGGGGCCAUCCCGGCUUACCAACCCGAUGCAAACUGCGAAUACCGGAGAAUGUUAUCACGGGAGACACACGGCGGGUGCUAACGUCCGUCGUGAAGAGGGAAACAACCCAGACCGCCAGCUAAGGUCCCAAAGUCAUGGUUAAGUGGGAAACGAUGUGGGAAGGCCCAGACAGCCAGGAUGUUGGCUUAGAAGCAGCCAUCAUUUAAAGAAAGCGUAAUAGCUCACUGGUCGAGUCGGCCUGCGCGGAAGAUGUAACGGGGCUAAACCAUGCACCGAAGCUGCGGCAGCGAACGUAUCACCCAAGACAACUUUACGGAGUUGACGAUUGACGGAGCGAAGCGACGUCAAAGCGUUCAUUAAAGUCGAGUUGGCUUAGGGAUACGUUCGUUGGGUAGGGGAGCGUUCUGUAAGCCUGUGAAGGUGGCCUGUGAGGGUUGCUGGAGGUAUCAGAAGUGCGAAUGCUGACAUAAGUAACGAUAAUGCGGGUGAAAAACCCGCACGCCGGAAGACCAAGGGUUCCUGUCCAACGUUAAUCGGGGCAGGGUGAGUCGACCCCUAAGGCGAGGCCGAAAGGCGUAGUCGAUGGGAAACAGGUUAAUAUUCCUGUACUUGGUGUUACUGCGAAGGGGGGACGGAGAAGGCUAUGUUAGCCGGGCGACGGUUGUCCCGGUUUAAGCAUGUAGGCGGAGGUUCCAGGUAAAUCCGGUACCUUAUUAACGCUGAGGUGUGAUGACGAGGCACUACGGUGCUGAAG
rnacentral:rRNA from 1 species